rnacentral:rRNA from 1 species
GACGAACGCUGGCGGCGUGCUUAACACAUGCAAGUCGAACGGAAAGGCCCUGCUUUUGUGGGGUGCUCGAGUGGCGAACGGGUGAGUAACACGUGAGUAACCUGCCCUUGACUUUGGGAUAACUUCGGGAAACUGGGGCUAAUACCGGAUAGGAGCUCCUGCUGCAUGGUGGGGGUUGGAAAGUUUCGGCGGUUGGGGAUGGACUCGCGGCUUAUCAGCUUGUUGGUGGGGUAGUGGCUUACCAAGGCUUUGACGGGUAGCCGGCCUGAGAGGGUGACCGGCCACAUUGGGACUGAGAUACGGCCCAGACUCCUACGGGAGGCGGCAGUGGGGAAUAUUGCACAAUGGGCGGAAGCCUGAUGCAGCAACGCCGCGUGCGGGAUGACGGCCUUCGGGUUGUAAACCGCUUUCGCCUGUGACGAAGCGUGAGUGACGGUAAUGGGUAAAGAAGCACCGGCUAACUACGUG